GUCUUUUUGAAAAUAAUAUAAAGUCUAACCUGCCCMCUGAAAAUUUAAAUGGSUGCGGUAUUUUGRCCGUACAAAGGUAGCAUAAUCAAUAGUUUCCUAAUUAGAAGCUUGUAUGAAUGGUUGGAUAAGAAAAUUACUGUCUCAAGUUAAAUUAUAGAAUUUUAUUUUUAAGUUAAAAAGCUUAAAUUUUAUUAAAAGACGAGAAGACCCUAUAGAGUUUAAUAAUUUUUUAAAAUUAAGAUUUUUAGUUUUUAAUAUUUUUAUUUUAAUUAAUUAUUUGAUUGGGGUGAUUAAAAAAUUUAAUAAACUUUUUUUUAUUUUUUACAUUAAUUUAUGUAUUAUUGAUCCAUUGAAAUGAUUAAAAGAAAAAAUUACCUUAGGGAUAACAGCGUAAUUUUUUCUAAGAGUUCUUAUUGAAGAAAAAGAUUGCGACCUCGAUGUUGGAUUAAAGGAAAUUUAUGGUGAAGAAGCUAUAAAAUUAAGYCYGUYCCACUYUUAAAACUUUMCA
rnacentral:rRNA from 1 species